rnacentral:rRNA from 1 species
UACGGAGGGGGCUAGCGUUGUUCGGAAUUACUGGGCGUAAAGCGCACGUAGGCGGCUUUGUAAGUUAGAGGUGAAAGCCCCUGGCUCAACCAGGGAGGGUCAUUCGAUACUGCUUGACUCGAAGGCAGGAGAGGGAAGUGGAAUUCCGGGUGUAGUGGUGAAAUGCGUAGAUAUCCGGAGGAACACCAGUGGCGAAGGCGACUUUCUGGCCUGUUCUUGACGCUGAGGCGCGAAAGCUAGGGGAGCAAACGGG